GGGCCGUUAGCACAGUGGUAAUGUAUCGCAUUCGCAUUGCGAAGACGGGAGUUCGACUCUCCCACGGUCCACUA
rnacentral:tRNA from 1 species